UCCAGACCUUUCAAGGCGGUGGACUAGGAGCUAUUUCCCUCUGCAGUUUUUGUCAUCGAUCUUGCCACCUUCUCCUUUAAAAUAAGGUUCUUCAAAAGCAGAAAGGAAUCAAUGGGCAGAUGUGAUGCUUGCAGAGACAAUAUGUUGCAGAAUAUAGAUGUCUCAGAGAAA